rnacentral:rRNA from 1 species
CAAUAGCGUAUAUUUAAGUUGUUGCAGUUAAAAAGCUCGUAGUUGGAUUUCGGUUAAGAGCGACCGGUCCGCCGUUUGGUGUGCACUGGUUGGUUUUAACUUCCUGUAGAGGACGUGCUCUGGGUUUAACGACCUGGACUCGGAGUCUACGUGGUUACUUUGAAAAAAUUAGAGUGUUCAAAGCGGGCUUACGCUUGAAUAUUUCGGCAUGGAAUAACACUAUAGGACUCCUGUCCUAUUUCGUUGGUCUCGGGACGGGAGUAAUGAUUAAGAGGAACAGUUGGGGGCAUUCGUAUUUCAUUGUCAGAGGUGAAAUUCUUGGAUUUAUGAAAGACGAACUUCUGCGAAAGCAUUUGCCAAGGAUGUUUUCACUAA